rnacentral:lncRNA from 1 species
GAUGCUCUUCUAUUUUUCUGAGACUGACAGUUGCUGUGCUUGCUGGCAGAUGUUUUGCUGGGUUUUCCUUUUUCAAAUGUGAAUAAGAAUUUCCAACCUAUGACUUGAAGAUUCAGUGUUUAUUCACAGAUAAGAAAUGGCAGAAAAACAAAUGGAAAGAAAGGCCUUCCAUCAUAUAUUUCUCUGGAAUGGAAGAAGGAAUGCUUGGAGAAUGCUACCUGAAGGCGGAGGCUGUGCAAGAGCUUUGAAAAAGAAAGAUUCUCUCUAUGAGAGGCACACUUGGUGAGAGAUGCCUUUGAGACCCAAAAUAAACAUGUGGCAUGACAAAGAAAGAUCCUGGAA